GUAGGGAAUAUUGGGCAAUGGGCGCAAGCCUGACCCAGCAACGCCGCGUGAGGGAAGAAGGUUUUCGGAUUGUAAACCUCUGUCCUAUGUGACGAAGGAAGUGACGGUAGCAUAGGAGGAAGCCCCGGCUAACUACGUGCCAGCAGCCGCGGUAAUACGUAGGGGGCGAGCGUUGUCCGGAAUUACUGGGCGUAAAGGGUGCGUAGGCGGUUUUGUAAGUUGGAUGUGAAAUACCCGGGCUUAACUUGGGGGCUGCAUCCAAUACUGCAGGACUUGAGUGCAGGAGAGGAAAGCGGAAUUCCUAGUGUAGCGGUGAAAUGCGUAGAUAUUAGGAGGAACACCGGUGGCGAAGGCGGCUUUCUGGACUGUAACUGACGCUGAGGCACGAAAGCGUGGGGAGCAAACAGGAUUAGAAACCCUAGUAGUCC
rnacentral:rRNA from 1 species